rnacentral:rRNA from 1 species
ACUACGGGAGGCAGCAGUGGGGAAUAUUGCACAAUGGGGGAAACCCGGAUGCAGCAACGCCGCGGGAAGGAAGACGGUUUUCGGAUUGUAAACUUCUGUUCUUAGUGAAGAAGAAUGACGGUAGCGAAGGAGCAAGCCACGGCUAACUACGUGCCAGCAGCCGCGGUAAUACGGAGGUGGCAAGCGUCGUCCGGAAUUACUGGGUGUAAAGGGAGCGCAGGGGGGAAGCCAAGUCAGCUGUGAAAACUACGGGCUUAACUUGUAGACUGCAGUUGAAACUGGUUUUCUUGAGUGAAGUAGAGGUUGGCGGAAUUCCGGGUGUAGCGGUGAAAUGCGUAGAUAUUCGGAGGAACACCGGUGGCGAAGGCGGCCCACUGGGCUUUAACUGACGCUGAGGCUCGAAAGUGUGGGGAGCAAACAGGAUUAGAUACCCGAGUAGUC